rnacentral:lncRNA from 1 species
AAGGUUCCGUCCAUUUCUUCUUAUUUUUUUCGGUCAAAAUACGUGAACACCCGGCCCAAACCCAAGGCGAAGAUGAACAGCCCUCACGAUGGUCCUCCCCAAUUCAAGGCUUAAGCAGGGUUAUACCUAUACGGCGUGCGUUUCUCUCCGCCCUCUACAUUAUUUUCCUCUCUUUACCGUCUCAGCCAUUUCUGUAUCCCUAGGAACAGAGGUGGAAGCUUUCAGUUCUAAACGGCGUGUCAAGGUUUGAAAAUUCGUUUUCAAUUUCUAAAACUACUGUUUAUUUUAUGUUACAUCUUGAUGCUGGAUUUGCUUCUUGUAAAUAGAAAGAAAAGAUAGUUGUUUUUUUAAUAGAAUAAAUAGAUUUUUUACUUGUUCUUCCCAAUUCUAUUUAUUAAAAUCUACUCAAGUUUUAGCUUCAUUUUUCUGUCAAUGUUGUUGCUCAACUUCCUUUUACUGGGUUGGCUUGUAGGACUUGAGUUUUUUAUUAAGUUCUCUCUGUCAAUGGGCGGCUUGGAAGGUUUAAAUCAUGGUUGGUAAGGCAUCGCCUAGGCGUCGAUUAGGCGUCCA